ensembl:lncRNA
UUUGAGAUAAGAACAGUUUAAUAAUUGAAAUAAAGUAAAAUAUAAUAAUAACAACAAUAAUAAUAGGAAAACCAGAGAGAGAGAUAAAAACCAAGAAACACAAGUGACGCACAAUACAACUGCUCACCUUCCGUUGACCGAUAGCCAGCCUGACCCGAGCAGAGAUUGGUGGCUCCUGGCCAACCCCCGCAGUUUAUACACUGCGCAUGAUGUGCUGUGGUAUGGAAUACCCCUUUGGCUAGUUUGGGUCAGGUGUCCUGUCUGCUUCCUCCCAGCUUUUUGUGCCCCUCCUCACUGGCUGAACACGGGAAAAUGAAAAGUCCUUGACUUAGGGUAAGCACCACUUAGCAACAACUAAAACAUUGGUGUGUUAUCAGCAUUGUUCUCAUCCUGAAUCCAAAACACAGCUCUGCACCAGCGACUAAGAAAAGAUUAACUCUACCCCAGCUGAAACCAUAACACACUGUUAUCAGAAGAUAGUUGUGCAAACUUGAAAGUACCUGGCUAUGUGUAAUAUGUCAAAUAUAAAUAAAUGCCAUUGUAAAUGUCGAGUCAUACAAGAAGAUAAAAAAGUCAGUUUCCUGGGCUCAUUAGAGCUGAAAGCUGGGGGUUUAUAGCAGGAUGAAGGGAAUUGCACAAUGCAGUUCCAUAUGGCUUAUGAAAUUUGUAUGAAAACCACUUUCUCCUACCCAUCCUAAUUAUGAUCUAUAAAUAGAUACACUAUUUUCCUUGGAGCGCUUACUUAGCUGGAAUCUUUUCCUUUUUUUUUUAAAGGCCAGUGCAAUCACUUGUAUGAUGCAUUUCUGGAGGCCUUUAACAGAUCAAAACACAAUUAUUUAUAGCAAUAAAAUGACCUUUCACUAAUUGGGAAAGAAAAUGUUCCACAACAGGUGACAGUUUCAUGAGUGCUCAGCACUGUCAAUUCGUUUUGGUGUUUGGCUUCAACUUGUAGUUGGGAUAAGUGUUUAAAUAAUGCGUAAUAAGUUUUUAAAUUACGUGUAUAUGUGAGUUUUGUGCGAAUGUAAGUGUGCUGAUGGAAUGAGACAGUGUUUGUGGUACCCAUGGCCAGGCAGCAGACUGAAAGCAAAGCACUGUUUUUCACCCAGGUACAGUUUUGCCAUGUAACCUGUCAGCAGAGGACUCCUUCUCCUGGGGUGCACCACCAGCCACUGCCAGUGAGCAGCCUGGAGUGCUCAGCAUCUGCUGUCCUCACAGGGACAGCAGCAAUGACACACAGUUAGCUGCAACUGCCAGGAGUGUAAAAGUGGCCAGGGGGACCAGCUGGGCCAAAUUCUGUCAGGCUGCAUCCCCUAAAGGCUUGUAUGAACAGGAGGAGACAACAGGGACGGGGGAUGCCAGAGCAGUAAGGAUGAGAUGCAUGUCAAGUACAUCGCUUUUUAUUAUUCAACAUUGAGGCUGCAGUAGUGCUUAGAGGCUGAUGUUUUGGACUUUGUUAUACCGGGUACCACAAGCACUCUGCACAUGGCAGUCUUGCUUCAGGCAGUGAGGAAAGCCAGGCUGAGACCCAACACAGCACAGAGGGUGCC